rnacentral:rRNA from 2 species
AGGAUGAACGCUGGCGGCGUGCUUAACACCUGUAAGUCGAACGAACCUUCGGGUUAGUGGCGGACGGGUGAGUAACGCGUGGGAAUCUGCCCUCAGGAGGGGGAUAACGGCUGGAAACGGCCGCUAAUACCCCAUAUGCCGAGAGGUGAAACGAAUUUCGCCUGAGGAUGAGCCCGCGUCUGAUUAGCUAGUUGGUGAGGUAAGAGCUCACCAAGGCAUCGAUCAGUAGCUGGUCUGAGAGGAUGAUCAGCCACACUGGGACUGAGACACGGCCCAGACUCCUACGGGAGGCAGCAGUGGGGAAUUUUCCGCAAUGGGCGAAAGCCUGACGGAGCAACGCCGCGUGAGGGAUGAAGGCCUCUGGGCUGUAAACCUCUUUUCUCAAGGAAGAAGAUCUGACGGUACUUGAGGAAUAAGCCACGGCUAAUUCCGUGCCAGCAGCCGCGGUAAUACGGGAGUGGCAAGCGUUAUCCGGAAUUAUUGGGCGUAAAGCGUCCGCAGGCGGCCUUUCAAGUCUGCUGUUAAAACGUGGAGCUUAACUCCAUCAUGGCAGUGGAAAAUGUUGGGCUUGAGUGUGGUAGGGGCAGAGGGAAUUCCCGGGUAGCCGGUGAAAUGCGUAGAUAUCGGAAAGAACCCCAGUGGCGAAGGCGCUCUGUUGGGCCAUAACUGACGCUCAUGGACGAAAGCCAGGGGAGCGAAAGGGAUUAGAUACCCCUGUAGUCCUGGCCGUAAACGAUGAACACUAGGUGUCGGGGGAAUCGACCCCCUCGGUGUCGUAGCCAACGCGUUAAGUGUUCCGCCUGGGGAGUACGCACGCAAGUGUUGAAACUCAAAGGAAUUGACGGGGGCCCGCACAAGCGGUGGAGUAUGUGGUUUAAUUCGAUGCAACGCGAAGAACCUUACCAGGGUUUGACAUCCUGCGAAUCUCUUGGAAACGAGAGAGUGCCUUCGGGAACGCAGUGACAGGUGGUGCAUGGCUGUCGUCAGCUCGUGUCGUGAGAUGUUGGGUUAAGUCCCGCAACGAGCGCAACCCACGUCUUUAGUUGCCAGCAUUUAGUUGGGCACUCUAGAGAGACCGCCGGUGAUAAACCGGAGGAAGGUGUGGAUGACGUCAAGUCAUCAUGCCCCUUACAUCCUGGGCUACACACGUACUACAAUGCUACGGACAAAGAGCAGCAAGUUCGCGAGGACAAGCAAAUCUCAUAAACCGUGGCUCAGUUCAGAUCGUAGGCUGCAACUCGCCUACGUGAAGGAGGAAUCGCUAGUAAUCGCAGGUCAGCAUACUGCGGUGAAUACGUUCCCGGGCCUUGUACACACCGCCCGUCACACCAUGGAAGUAGGCCACGCCCGAAGCCGUUNCUCCACNCCUUGUGGAGGCCUUCAUGGAAGGGUGGGGCUGAUGACUGGGGUGAAGU